rnacentral:rRNA from 1 species
AUGGUCGGAGAUUCAAAAAAAUCUCAUACAAAACUGCUGAUGAUGGCCACAUUGUGUUUGGCAGCAAGAAGUGGAAAGACUUCGCAGCUAGCAGAGGACUCAAAGUCAACACAGCUGUUCUUAUUGGCUUCAAGAGCAGCGAGAGGGAUGAUGUCCAUGUCCUGGUUAUCUCGAAGAAGCUUGGCUAGGCAGCAGCCACAUCAACUGAUGACAAGCAGAGCUGCGUCUAUAAUACUCAUCUUUUGGGUAUUCUAUAUAUUUCUGUGUCGAAGUCUGUAUGACGAACAUUUUUUCAUUUUUAUGCCAUGUUGA